CUGUGAGUCCCCAAUGGUUGGAUUAUGUAUUCAACAAACUGGUUACUGUAGCAGCUGUCCCUUCCAAAUGGGCCAAUAUGCUAAUUUAAAAAUUGAGAGUUUAAAAAGUGCCAUAACCAGUACAGCCCACUCUAAUGGUUAUUUUCAAUUGAGCUGAUACCACUCCCAUGGUCUGGCCUCUCUAUACAGAUAUUGCUCAAGCAUAACUUCCCUGCUUUGGUAUUAUCUUAGAGUCCUCUGACAACAAAUUACGUCCAAAGACAAAAUUGAUAUGUUAAUGAGGAAAGGAAACUUUUGCUUUAGCAGUAUCUGCAAAGAGGGAUCAGACUGCAGGCAGCAGAUAAAUACAACAAUGGCAUACCCCCAAUUGUAGCGUCCUGCGAAUCAAGACUCCAAUGGGAGAUAGGUAAAGAGGGUGUGCCAGUGAUGCGAUCAGAUCACUAGCUCCACCCCUAAAGUGGCAUACUUACCUGGAAAACAGGUGGGUCCACCCAAGUUAAUGACACGUCAGCUAGGCAUGAAUGCAUGCCAGGCUGCUUGUCAAUCAUUUUGGCCGGCACACUGAGUGCUAAGCAGCAGGAGCAGGCUCAAUAAAACCUCCAGGGUCCUAGUGAUAAUCAUCACGCAUUCAUGGUUUAAAUGUUGAGGAUAGCUGGUGUCCCUAAAAUUGGACAUGCUGAAUUCUGGACAGUUGGGAGGCAUGCAAUGGUCCAAUCCAAUCGUCCUCAUAGAGUAGUAUUGAGGACUUGAUGCGCAUCAAAGCAUUCCCAUAGGAAAACAUUGUUUGUAAUGCUUUACAAUUAACUAAUGCGUCAAGUUUUACUCUGUCAGU